UACGAAGGGGCUAGCGUUGCUCGGAAUCACUGGGCGUAAAGCGCACGUAGGCGGAUUGUUAAGUCAGGGUGAAAUCCUGGAGCUCAACUCCAGAACUGCCUUUGAUACUGGCGAUCUUGAGUCCGGGAGAGGUGAGUGGAACUCCGAGUGUAGAGGUGAAAUUCGUAGAUAUUCGGAAGAACACCAGUGGCGAAGGCGGCUCACUGGCCCGGUACUGACGCUGAUGUGCGAAAGCGUGGGGAGCAAACAGG
rnacentral:rRNA from 1 species